GUGCUUGGUUUGGUAGCACAGAUGCUAACAUUGGAUGAAACAGAUUAUUAGCAUGGCCCCUGCACAAGGAUGAGGCACAAAUUUGUGAAGCAUUCCAUAUUUUU